rnacentral:rRNA from 1 species
GACGAACGCUGUUGGCGUGCCUAACACAUGCAAGUCGAGCGAAGUGAGUACUACGGUACGAACUUAGCGGCGGACGGGUGAGUAACGCGUGGACAAUCUACCCUGUAGACUGGGAUAACACCUCGAAAGGGGUGCUAAUACCGGAUAAUGUCGAGAAGCGGCAUCGCUUUUCGAAGAAAGGAGAGAAUCCGCUAUAGGAGGAGUCCGCGUCCCAUUAGCUAGUUGGCGAGGGUAACGGCCCACCAAGGCGACGAUGGGUAGCCGGCCUGAGAGGGUGAAAGGCCGCACUUGAACUGAGACACGGGCCAGACUCCUACGGGGGGCAGCAGUGGGGAAUAUUGUGCAAUGGGGGAAACCCUGACACAGCAACGCCGCGUGAGCGAAGAAGGCCUUCGGGUUGUAAAGCUCAAUAGUAUGGGAAGAUAAUGACGGUACCAUACGAAAGCCCCGGCUAACUACGUGCCAGCCGCCGCCGUAAGAC